GACGAACGCUGGCGGCGUGCUUAACACAUGCAAGUCGAACGGAAAGGCCCUGCUUUUGUGGGGUGCUCGAGUGGCGAACGGGUGAGUAACACGUGAGUAACCUGCCCUUGACUUUGGGAUAACUUCAGGAAACUGGGGCUAAUACCGGAUAGGAGCUCCUGCUGCAUGGUGGGGGGUGGAAAGUUUCGGCGGUUGGGGAUGGACUCGCGGCUUAUCAGCUUGUUGGUGGGGUAGUGGCUUACCAAGGCUUUGACGGGUAGCCGGCCUGAGAGGGUGACCGGCGACAUUGGGACUGAGAGACGGCCCAGACUCCUACGGGAGGCAGCAGUGUGGAAUAUUGCACAAUGGGCGGAAGCCUGAUGCAGCAACGCCGCGUGCGGGAUGACGGCCUUCGGGUUGUAAACCGCUUUCGCCUGUGACGAAGCGUGAGUGACGGUAAUGGGUAAAGAAGCACCGGCUAACUACGUG
rnacentral:rRNA from 1 species